GAUGAACGCUGGCGGCGUACCUAAUACAUGCAAGUCGAGCGAACAGACGAGGAGCUUGCUCCUCUGACGUUAGCGGCGGACGGGUGAGUAACACGUGGAUAACCUACCUAUAAGACUGGGAUAACUUCGGGAAACCGGAGCUAAUACCGGAUAAUAUAUUGAACCGCAUGGUUCAAUAGUGAAAGACGGUUUUGCUGUCACUUAUAGAUGGAUCCGCGCCGCAUUAGCUAGUUGGUAAGGUAACGGCUUACCAAGGCAACGAUGCGUAGCCGACCUGAGAGGGUGAUCGGCCACACUGGAACUGGGACACGGUCCAGACUCCUACGGGAGGCAGCAGUAGGGAAUCUUCCGCAAUGGGCGAAAGCCUGACGGAGCAACGCCGCGUGAGUGAUGAAGGUCUUCGGAUCGUAAAACUCUGUUAUUAGGGAAGAACAAAUGUGUAAGUAACUAUGCACGUCUUGACGGUACCUAAUCAGAAAGCCACGGCUAACUACGUG
rnacentral:rRNA from 1 species